rnacentral:rRNA from 1 species
UACAGAGGAUGCAAGCGUUAUCCGGAAUGAUUGGGCGUAAAGCGUCUGUAGGUGGCUUUUUAAGUCCGCCGUCAAAUCCCAGGGCUCAACCCUGGAAAGCCGGUGGAAACUGUCGAACUAGAGUCCGGAAGAGGCGAGUGGAAUUCCUGGUGUAGCGGUGAAAUGCGCAGAUAUCAGGAGGAACACCAAUGGCGAAGGCAGCUCGCUGGGACGGUACUGACGCUGAGACGCGAAAGCGUGGGGAGCAAACAGG